UGUAUGGUGAUGAAACCCAUGCGUGUCAGCUGACUCUGGAACCCCCCGCUGGGUUGCGACUCCGCUCGGCGUUUUGCCGGCCAGAGUUCUCAGCUCAGCGGGGAUCCCGAGACGUGAUCAGACUCACACUUCUGAAUACA